CAAUGGGGCGGCAAGCAUGAUGGCAGCGACGCCGGCGUGAGGGGAUGACGGCUUUCGGGGUUGGUAAACCUCUUUCAGUAGGGAAGAAGCGAAAGUGACGGUACCUGCAGAAGAAGCGCCGGCUAACUACGUGCCAGCAGCCGCGGUAAUACGUAGGGCGCAAGCGUUAUCCGGAAUUAUUGGGCGUAAAGAGCUCGUAGGCGGUUUGUCGCGUCUGCCGUGAAAGUCCGGGGCUCAACUCCGGAUCUGCGGUGGGUACGGGCAGACUAGAGUGAUGUAGGGGAGACUGGAAUUCCUGGUGUAGCGGUGAAAUGCGCAGAUAUCAGGAGGAACACCGAUGGCGAAGGCAGGUCUCUGGGCAUUAACUGACGCUGAGGAGCGAAAGCAUGGGGAGCGAACAGGAUUAGAUACCCUGGUAGUCCAUGCCGUAAACGUUGGGCACUAGGUGUGGGGGACAUUCCACGUUUUCCGCGCCGUAGCUAACGCAUUAAGUGCCCCGCCUGGGGAGUACGGCCGCAAGGCUAAAACUCAAAGGAAUUGACGGGGGCCCGCACAAGCGGCGGAGCAUGCGGAUUAAUUCGAUGCAACGCGAAGAACCUUACCAAGGCUUGACAUGAACCGGWAACGCCUGGAGACAGGUGCCCCGCWUGCGGUCGGUUUACAUGGUGGUGCAUGGUGUCGUCAGCUCGUGUC
rnacentral:rRNA from 1 species